rnacentral:rRNA from 1 species
UACAGAGGUCUCAAGCGUUGUUCGGAUUCAUUGGGCGUAAAGGGUGCGUAGGUGGCGCUGUAAGUCGGGUGUGAAAUUUCGGAGCUUAACUCCGAAACUGCAUUCGAUACUGCGGUGCUUGAGGACUGGAGAGGAGACUGGAAUUCAUGGUGUAGCAGUGAAAUGCGUAGAUAUCAGGAGGAAUACCGGUGGUGUAGACGGCUCUCUGGACCGUAACUGACACUGAGACACGAAAGCGUGGGUAGCAAACAGG